rnacentral:rRNA from 1 species
CCUACGGGAGGCAGCAGUGGGGAAUAUUGCACAAUGGGCGCAAGCCUGAUGCAGCAACGCCGCGUGAGGGAUGAAGGCCUUCGGGUUGUAAACCUCUUUUAGCAGGGAAGAAGCGAAAGUGACGGUACCUGCAGAAAAAGCACCGGCUAACUACGUGCCAGCAGCCGCGGUAAUACGUAGGGUGCAAGCGUUGUCCGGAAUUAUUGGGCGUAAAGAGCUCGUAGGCGGUUUGUCGCGUCUGCUGUGAAAACUGGAAGCUCAACUUCCAGCCUGCAGUGGGUACGGGCAGACUAGAGUGCGGUAGGGGAGAACGGAAUUCCUGGUGUAGCGGUGGAAUGCGCAGAUAUCAGGAGGAACACCGAUGGCGAAGGCAGUUCUCUGGGCCGUUACUGACGCUGAGGAGCGAAAGCGUGGGGAUGCGAACAGGAUUAGAUACCCUGGUAGUCCACGCCGUAAACGG